rnacentral:rRNA from 1 species
GACGAACGCUGGCGGCGUGCUUAACACAUGCAAGUCGAGCAGUAAGGCCCUUUCGGGGGUACACGAGCGGCGAACGGGUGAGUAACACGUGGGUGACCUGCCCUCAGCUCUGGGAUAAGCCUGGGAAACCGGGUCUAAUACUGGAUAUGACUCCAUGACGCAUGUUGUGGGGUGGAAAGCCUUGUGCGGCUGAGGAUGGGCCCGCGGCCUAUCAGCUUGUUGGUGGGGUGANGGCCUACCAAGGCGACGACGGGUAGCCGGCCUGAGAGGGCGACCGGCCACACUGGGACUGAGACACGGCCCAGACUCCUACGGGAGGCAGCAGUGGGGAAUCUUGCGCAAUGGGCGAAAGCCUGACGCAGCGACGCCGCGUGAGGGAUGACGGCCU